GCAGGAGAAUCGCUUGAACCUGGGAGGUGGGGGUUGCAGUGAGCUGAGAUCGCACCACUGCACUCCAGCCUGGGAAACAAGAGCGAAACUCCAUCUCAAGAGAAAAAAAUGGUGUUUUAAGUUGUGCACAAUGUCACUACCUCAACAUGAUCCCCACCACAGCCCCUGUGGCAGGCACACAGCUAUCACUGUGCAGCUGUCCACACGAGAGGGCAGAUCAAAUAAAUGAAUGUGAUUGAACAUUUUUCUUCUAACUACAGGGUUAUUAUUUAAUUUUACUUGAUUAGGCUCACACCAGAUAAAAGGUCAUAUUUUCUGUUUUGCUUUAGACCUCAAACGUCCUGGGAUUGCAGGUAUUUGAGAUCCCCACCAGGACUCCUGCUGAAGCAGGGCCAGCCCCCAGGCAUGGAGAACAUCAUUGCCCCCCAGCCUCCUCUGAUCAGACCACUGCCAAGCUGCACCAGUAACAGGAACCAGGAAUCUUGAGAAGCUGGAGGUGAACUGUUGAGCCCAGACCCCCUGGAUGUGGCAGCAUUCACAGAUGAAAAUGCAGCAUGGAGAGGGGACCCAUCAUGACCGAGCUCCACACCCAGCAGGUGGUGCAGCCUGGAGACUCAGUCCAAGUUGCUUGUGCCUGUCCCUGGAAGUGCCUGGCUCAUUCAGACUGAAGGUGUGCCCGGGGAAGACGUGAGGCCGCUAGCAAACGGCCUGCUGUGCACAUGGCCCAGUGCUCGCCUUGGAAAAUGACUGUAGCAUGUGACAGACCAUGUGGGAGGCAUCAUCCACCCGGGAUAGCCGGGAAGCUGCCCAGACGAGGGGCACGGAGCCCAGGAUUAGGAGACGAAGAAGAAGAUGAUGAGACAAAGUCAUUUCCUAGAGGAUCCAAGCGGGAGGGCUUUCUAAGAAUGCCACACAAUCCAGGAGCUAGAUCUACGGCUUAUACAGUCGAUUCUUGGAUCUGGGGGAGUCAUGCUUUGUAGUCUCUUCGAACACUGAAUUAGCGAAUCCCAAACCAUUGUGUCCCAGCAAAACACAACACACUUUCCAAUCAGCUCCAUGUACAGAUCGGCACACUUCCUCUCCUCUUUCUGGAUGGGCAGUUGAUUCGUUAACAGGGAACCUCAGUCAACAGCACCAUAACUCACAUGUGAUGGAAGCUUCUCUAAUACACAUUUUCUCCCCUAGGCACAUCACAGCUUCUCUAUGCUUAAGAACACAGGGCAGCUCUUCAGCAUGGUGCCUGCAGCCAUUUGAAACAACAAAAUCACCAAAAAAAAACCCAGAAAGUGUGGCACUAAAUAGAAUGCAGGACUGACAACCCAGGAAAUAAAGGGACAAAUGUAAGUAGAGAAUUAACAGGAAA
rnacentral:lncRNA from 10 species